GCUGCUGCUGCUGCCAUAGUGAGGUAGAGCCCUGUGCCAUGCCUGGAGGAGGCGGCGGCGGCGGCGCGGGGAGUGCGGCGGAGGAGCCUAUAUGCGCGCGGGGGCUGCAGCCGCGCCGCGGGGGAUUGAGAUCGAAUCUGCACAGCACCAUGGCAUCAGUGAUUUCAUGUGAUUCCACAAUUAAAAGAAGUAAUCAUCAUCGUGUAAUCUACUGUGCUACCAUGAUUAUUUCUGCUGAAAAUGGUGAGAGAAAUGCAGACUUCCAAAAAGAAAGAGAGCAAAAGAAUUUCUUAUACAAAAAUCAAAACAUCAUUCAUUUCCUCUGUCCAGACAAAAUUAGAAGGAAAAAACCUCCCUUGAUGAGAGUUAUGUCAAAGCAUAGGCAAUGAAGAUGACGGUUGCUUCAAUAAACAAAGGUGUAAGAUUGCUCGGCUACAUAGAGGAAGUCUAUUCAUACAGGGUUCUAUAAUUUAAGGACUUCAAAUAUCUUAUGCAAUAGCAUGCAAUUAUAUUUUCUUUGUUAAAGUUUAUUAAUUCAGAGUCUUUUUGAGUGUAUGAAUCCUGAAAAGAACAAGUAGCUAUUUUAUUUCCUGUAAGUCCCCAAUGCCAACUUUACUAGCAUAACAGGCAAAAUUAAAAAUGUCCAUAAUUAGGUAGUCUCCUUCGAAUUUCUGGUAUGGAAACAUUUUAAUUUUUCAAUUAAAUCUUGAUAGAAAGGUUGCUUUUAUGACCUAAAGCAAAUGGUGGGUCAUUUAGUUUGGUCUGGCUCCUAUGCUUUCACUGUUCUGUUGGAAUUGUUGCGAUGCAGGGGUUCAGUUGUAAGAAGACAAGAAUGUAUUGUCAGACCUGCAGGGUAUCAGAAAUCACAGUUAGGUUUCUCUUCUGAUCUAGGCAGUGAAAUGGUGGCAUUGAGUUUGUACUCUGAUGAAUUCAAGCAACAAGCUGCUCUGUUCUGAGUGCUCAUUUCUUCCUUCUUUUUCUGUUUUGCCCUGUUUUCAAGGGCUACAUCAAUCAUAGUCUACAGUACUGUGUCUGUCUGUGCCAAAAGAGCUCAAGCUGGUGUCUUGCCAAUGCCAAAUGACAUUGACUCAAAAAGACAUUUGAGAAUACUGACAUGAAACUUCUGGAUUAUAUUUUCUUCUGGAUUCCUGCUUUAAAGUAUACACUAUUGUAUUUCUCUUCAUCACAUAUUCAAACUAACACAGCCCCGUGUAACAAUAAACAAUAUCGAACUGCCAGCCUUUUACUGUUUG